UCAGUUUAAAUAUCGUAGUCCUCUGUUGUUUCCCCCCAAGAGGUAAGGAACACAGAGAAUAAAAUAAUAUAAAUGCCAAUGAGCAUAAUCGAAUAGAAAGGAAAUACAAAAAUAAAUAAAUAUUUCCUUCUAUCGUGUGUUUUCUGGAACGACACCAGAAUAAUAAAAAUAUAUAAAAUAUAAAAAUGUUGUGUUGGCGUAUCCGAGGCCCGACAUCGGAAAAGUUUAAAAGAAGAAUAAACGUGUAAAAGUUUAAAAGAAAAAAACGGCGACACCAACAUCAACAGAAAAUAAGCACCCCAAGCAGAAGCAACAUCCGAGCAACAUCAGGAGCAAUAUCGGCCGAAGCAAGUCAUCCACGCAGAAGCAACAUCCGAGCAACAUCAGGAGCAAUAUCGGCCGAAACAAGUCAUCCACGCAGAAGCAACAUCCGCAGCGACACCAAGG